rnacentral:rRNA from 1 species
AGCACGGCAAAAGMUMAAAUUAUGAAAUCUGGCUACCUUACGAGUGCCCGAGUUUGUAAUUUUGAGARAGGGUCAACUGKGUGGGGCCUGUUCCUUGUCUAUGUUCCUUGAGCAAACAGGACGUCAUAGAGGGUGAGAAUCCCGUGUGGCGAGGAGUGCAGGCUUCUUUGUAAAGUGCCUUCGAAGAGUCGAGUUGUUUGGGAAUGCAGCUCUAAAGUGGGUGGUAAAUUCCAUCUAAAGCUAAAUAUUGGCGAGAGACCGAUAGCGAACAAGUACAGUGAUGGAAAGAUGAAAAGAACUUUGAAAAGAGAGUGAAAAAGUACGUGAAAUUGUUGAAAGGGAAGGGCAUUUGAUCAGACAUGGUGUUUUGUGCCCUCUGCUCCUUGUGGGUAGGGGAAUCUCGCAUUUCACUGGGCCAGCAUCAGUUUUGGUGGCAGGAUAAAUCCAUAGGAAUGUAGCUUGCCUCGGUAAGUAUUAUCAGCCUGUGGGAAUACUGCCAGCUGGGACUGAGGACUGCGACGUAAGUCAAGGAUGCUGGCAUAAUGGUUAUAUGCCGCCCGUCC